AGCUCUCAAUGCUUUCUCUCCAUAUGAGGAUUUACAGGAAGGCAGACACUUGCAGAAAGAACGGAUCUCCUUAAGUACGAGGACAAUUUGAGGACAUGCCUCCUUAUGAAUCACGAAGGUGAGUGCGGCUGAUCUGGCUGGCUAGGCAAGGGUCCCCUUCCUAUUUCAGAAUUCAGAGUGCUUACUGCUUCCUGCUCUAGACCUCCUAGAGAGAAGGAGGACCAUUCUUUAGCCCAGGGCAUGCAAGUAAAUGCAUUCCCCCAAUAGAAUCUCCAAACAAAUUCUCAGAAGCAGCCUCAAGGGGAGGUUCAGGAAAGAGAGAAGAACCCACCGGGGGCUAUGUUGGGACCUCCACUCAUCAGAUCCCGUUGGGCCACUUAGGCAACCACCACCCAGGUAGUAAGAAAAAAGUGUGGUGAAGUGUUGAGAUAAAAACAAAACAAAACAAAAAAAGCAGUGGAUCUCACUAGUUCUGGCUCCAGGGGCCAUAGAAACUAACACUAAUUUAUGUCAGCGGCUCCACGCUGCCCUCAAGUACUUUCUGACCUGCUCACUCUCUGGGAGACAUUUCAACACCGCACCCUGUCAGACAGCCCUGGCCCCACUCACAGCUCUAGUGGCUAGUUUCCACCACACCAGGCACACACAUCCCAAUUCUGUGGUGGGCCGGUUUGUCUGGCCAUCAGGCACUCUCUUGAACUCAAUUAAGUCCCCACAUGAAAGAACACAUCACACAAUAUCCUCUGAUCCAAUUGAUAAGAUAUAAUUUGACCAUCUAGACA
rnacentral:lncRNA from 1 species